rnacentral:rRNA from 1 species
CAUGGGGUGUCGGGAAAGAUUUCAUCGGUAUGGGAUGGGGUCGCGUCCUAUCAGGUAGUCGGCGGGGUAACGGCCCACCGAGCUUACGACGGGUAGCCGGCCUGAGAGGGCGACCGGCCACAUUGGGACUGAGAUACGGCCCAGACUCCUACGGGAGGCAGCAGUGGGGAAUAUUGCACAAUGGGCGCAAGCCUGAUGCAGCGACGCCGCGUGCGGGAUGACGGCCUUCGGGUUGUAAACCGCUUUUGAUCGGGAGCAAGCCUUCGGGUGAGUGUACCUUUCGAAUAAGCACCGGCUAACUACGUGCCAGCAGCCGCGGUAAUACGUAGGGUGCAAGCGUUAUCCGGAAUUAUUGGGCGUAAAGGGCUCGUAGGCGGUUCGUCGCGUCCGGUGUGAAAGUCCAUCGCUUAACGGUGGAUCUGCGCCGGGUACGGGCGGG